rnacentral:rRNA from 1 species
GAUGAACGCUAGCUAUAGGCUUAACACAUGCAAGUCGAGGGGAAACGGCAUUAUGUGCUUGCACAUUUUGGACGUCGACCGGCGCACGGGUGAGUAUCGCGUAUCCAACCUGCCCUUUACUUGGGGAUACCCCGUUGAAAGACGGCCUAAUACCCGAUGUAAUUCAUUGAUGGCAUCAGAUAUGAAUAAAAGAUUUAUCGGUAAAGGAUGGGGAUGCGUCUGAUUAGCCUGUUGGUGAGGUAAUGGCUCACCAAGGCAACGAUCAGUAGGGGUUCUGAGAGGAAGGUCCCCCACAUUGGAACUGAGACACGGUCCAAACUCCUACGGGAGGCAGCAGUGAGGAAUAUUGGUCAAUGGGCGCAAGCCUGAACCAGCCAAGUAGCGUGCAGGAAGACGGCCCUAUGGGUUGUAAACUGCUUUUAUACGAGAAUAAUUUGAUGCACGUGUGCGUUAUUGCAUGUAUCGUAUGAAUAAGGACCGGCUAAUUCCGUGCCAGCAGCCGCGGUAAUACGGAAGGUCCAGGCGUUAUCCGGAUUUAUUGGGUUUAAAGGGAGUGUAGGCGGUUUGUUAAGCGUGUUGUGAAAUUUAGAUGCUCAACAUUUAACUUGCAGCGCGAACUGUCAGACUUGAGUACACGCAACGUAUGCGGAAUUCAUGGUGUAGCGGUGAAAUGCUUAGAUAUCAUGAAGAACUCCGAUUGCGAAGGCAGCAUACGGGAGUGUAACUGACGCUUAAGCUCGAAGGUGCGGGUAUCGAACAGG